UCGCUUCUCCACCAUAUUUUCCUUUAUACAAAGUUAAUCAUAUAAUAAUUAACAACAACAAACAUGUCCGAUGAACAAAACAAAUAUUAUAAAAGAAUAACCAACAAACAUACAUCACUGAUAGUUAAUUUAUUGAUAUCAUCCAUCAAUAUCAUGUCAAGACUAUAUUCUUUUCCCUUGUUUGAAUUUGUCGGCUCCCACAUAGCGAUCUAUAACUACCUUUGCUUGC
rnacentral:lncRNA from 1 species